UGCUCCUCAUUUGGUGAUCACAAGGCAGGAUAACGUUAUUCUUGUCUUGAUCAUAGAGUGAGGCAGGACAAUCAGGGAGGGGCUCCCUGAUUGCACCUGGAACUCCUACCAACUGGAUCAUUGCCCAGUCUGGGAAGUACCAGGGCUGUCUGAUGUGAGUUGUGAUGGGAAUGGAAAAAUACUGACCAAGGUCAACUAUCUUGUGAUCCUAUAAACAGUGGUUCUAAAGUGAGAUCCCUUGAGCAAUCCUGGAUCACAGCAGGCUAUGACCCAAUAUCUCUCCCUGAACCAGGAUGCCUUUGAGGGAUGAUUUCUCGAGGACUCAACAAUCAUCUUGAAGAUUUAACGUAGAUUCAAUGAUCAUCUACUGACAGUUUUGCAAAGAUUCAAAGGCCUAAUUUUGCAUGGUUUGAUGAUCAUCCGCUGGUGAAUGUUGACACAUAAAAACAAGUACAGCUGUUGAAAAUAAGAAAAAUUAGAACACAUAUCAACCUCGAAAUGCAAUCACAUCAAUUUAAAUCCAAUGAGCACUUCUGAUAGAAGUCUACAUCUAUGAAUGAAAUGUUCUUCCUCUACUGUUCCUCAGGGAAGUUAAAGACCAGCAAAAAAAGAAGCUGCAGUUACACUUUCUUACACUAGAGCCUUGAAACUGGUGGAAAGAGCCUGGCUUGAAUGAAACCUCUGGCAGCAGCACUGGGCCUCAGGGGAGGAAUUGCCCAGGCCCUGUUUAUGCCCUGGGCUUGGUGGUGGUUCAGGGCAGCUCAGCAGUGCUGCCAUCCUGGCACUUCUUGCUGUCAGCAGACCUCUCAAGACUGAAAUACAGACUCAUGAUUACUCUCAUUAUAUCUAUUAGCCCAGAUCUGACCAGCUCAACACAGGAAAAAGAAAAAAAAAAAAGCUAAUUACUCCCUAGCUUGGCUGUUGUGGGCUAACAAAUUCUUUCAUAUAAUAAGCCAUAUUAGGAAAGCUGGUGAAAGUUUAAGAGAAAAUAAAGUGCUGACUUUCUUAGGAAAUAAAUGUGUCUCCUUCAGCUUUUUAAAGAGCAAAAUUAACAAGAGCAGAGGAUCUCUCCUGUGUGUCUGCAUGCCAGCUCAAUUUAUUUACUUCUCUGGCACAACUGAAUAUCCACUAAGGCUGCUUCUGAAAGAUGUUUUAUUUUGGAAUCAGACUCUAGAUUACAGACCUUGUAAUAUUUUUUCCAGUGUACCAUGAAUGAUGAGAAUGGGCUUGAUAUGCUGACAGGUAAUUCAAAGACUGGAAAGCCUACCUAUAUCAGCUAGGUAAUGAUUCCCUUCUCUCUUUAAAUUUUAUUAAAUUUACAUAAGAAAGAAACUGUAAUGUAGAGGCAUUGACAUGUGCAAAACAUGCUAUGGUGUAUGAAUUUAAGACAAGCCAUUAAUCUAUAGUAACUGCCCUAGGCAGACUCCUCACUCACAAUGUAUUGUGGGGUAGCAAAUGCUGUUUUCACUCAAAGGCAAGCAAUUUAACAUGAAUUUGCAUUUGCUAAUGAAUAAUUGAGUAAACGACCUAACUCUGUAAAUUCACUGUCUAGCUUGCUUUGUGGUAGGUUGUUCAUAAUUUCAUACACUAAAACUUGACUACAAAUGAACCUCCACCUCUUCAUCUCUCUUAGCAAUGUAAGAAGUUUCUUAUAUUGGGAAGGUUUGUAUGAACAAGUGGGCAAGUUAUAUCAGUAUGAAACAGCAGUACACUGGUAUAACUGCAUUUACACUGGAAUUGUAGCACUAUAUUACUAGCCCCUUUCAUGUUGCAAUCAAUGCAGGCUAAUGCAAAACUUGUGCAUAGAUUCAAUCUAAUAUAUAUGCUAAUGCACAAUAGCAAACUGCCUCUCUGCUUAAAAUUAUGGAAUAGUAUGCGCACAGUUCACCUCUCUAACUAAAAACCCCGGCAUUUGGCUUUUGAGUGGCCCCAAGAGUACUAGAACAAAGAUGGAUUAAAGUUAAUUUGCACCUUGUCACCUUCAAAGAAUUGACUGCCUAUAUUUUGCAUGUCCAAAUUUUUUUGUAGAUUGAAAUACAGACUAAUUUCCUAAAAAUUGAUCCAUAUUAUAUGACAGUAAAUGAACAAACAAUUAAUGAGCAGGUCAUUUUUCCUCACUGAAAAACAAACAAAUAGAAAAUAAAUUAUUUUCUUCAUUAUUUGAAGGGUGACUAACGAGCCAGUUCUUUUUAGAUUAUUUGAAAUGCAAACAAAAGAUUUUACUUUACAUGCUCCAAGUACCAGCAAUUUAAUGGUAGACAUAGUCCUAAUUUCAGCCCUAAUGUUUUGUCAGUCUAGCACAAUGUUCUCAAAUGAAGGAUUAUAACCUUUUCAGGCAUCAUGAAAGAAUGUGAAAAGAUGCAAAAUGUUAGAAAAAGGAGUACUUUUCCAUUUGCCUAACCCCUACUUGUGCCAAGAAGAGGAGACAUUGCUGUCAUUACUAGCUACAAAUA